UAGAGGAAGUAAAAGUCGUAACAAGGUUUCCGUAGGUGAACCUGCGGAAGGAUCAUUAUUGAAAUAAACCUGAUGAGUUGUUGCUGGCUCUCUAGGGAGUAUGUGCACGCUUGUCAUCUUUAUAUCUCCACCUGUGCACUUUUUGUAGACCUUGGAUAUCUCUCUGAUGCUUUUAGCACUCAGGUUGGAGGAUUGACUUGAUUGUCUUUCUUUACACUUCCAGGCCUAUGUUUCUUCAUAUACCCCAUGUAUGUUACAGAAUGUAAUAAAUGGGCCUUUGUGCCUAUAAACCUUAUACAACUUUCAGCAACGGAUCUCUUGGCUCUCGCAUCGAUGAAGAACGCAGCGAAAUGCGAUAAGUAAUGUGAAUUGCAGAAUUCAGUGAAUCAUCGAAUCUUUGAACGCACCUUGCGCUCCUUGGUAUUCCGAGGAGCAUGCCUGUUUGAGUGUCAUUAAUAUAUCAAUCUCUUCAGCUUUUGCUUGAGUGGUUGGAUGUGGGGGCUUUAAAUUUUGCUGGACUUUUUCUUUUUUGAGAAGAUCAGCUCCCCUAAAAUACAUUAGCAGAACAAUUUUGUUGACCGUUCAUUGGUGUGAUAAAUAUCUACGCUAUUGACGUGAAGCAGGUUCAGCUUCUAACAGUCCAUUGACUUGGACAAAUUUUUCAUUAAUGUGACCUCAAAUCAGGUAGGACUACCCGCUGAACUUAAGCAUAUCA
rnacentral:rRNA from 1 species